UACGGGGGGAGCAAGCGUUGUUCGGAUUUACUGGGCGUAAAGGGCGCGUAGGCGGCCACUGCAAGUCAGUUGUGAAAUCUCCGGGCUUAACCCGGAAAGGUCAACUGAUACUGCAGGGCUAGAGUGCAGAAGGGGCAACUGGAAUUCUCGGUGUAGCGGUGAAAUGCGUAGAUAUUGGGAGGAACACCAGUGGCGAAGGCGGCUCACUGGACCGGAACUGACGCUGAGGCGCGAAAGCGUGGGGAGCAAACGGG
rnacentral:rRNA from 1 species